UCAGCUCCAGCCAUAACUAACGGGAAGGAAAAGGAGUACUCCUGUAUAGCUCAUGAAACUUAUCUUUCAAAAGAAUUUGGACAAUAAAGACAAUCAGGGGUGUAACCAAAACCCAACAUUGCUCCCUCAGUAUCUCAACCAGACGGCAAAACUUCCUGGGCUCUGACCUUUCUCUUAUAUAUUGUUCUGGUAGCAAACAAACACUCAGCUUUGCUAUUUAGCAAUUCCUCCUUUUUUCCUUGCCAAUGAAACUUGUGAAGGAACCUUUUACAUCAGAGGUUUGGAUCAAACCUCUCAUCCAUUAUUUUUGGUCCCUGGUAGUGAUCAACUACUGGCACUGUAGAGGAAGAUUAGGAAACAAGACAGAAUGUGUCAACUGUGCGAUGUAAUAAACAACAAAAUUCCCUUUGGAACACACAGCAGUAAGCCUACACAACAUGACAUUUGGAAAUGACUGGCAGUCACUGAGACUUUAUAAAAAAAACCUAAGAUUCCAAUAGCUCAGGAAGCUCAUGCAUAUCUUUCCAGGAUGCUGUAUGAACAGUAAUACCCUUCCUGUUUCUGGACAAAGCCUUUCCAGAUCACAGCUCUGUCUGCAGAAUUGAAUUGCACUUCCUUUAAAGAGCUGAAAAAAACUCAAAAGUUGCUGCAGGAAGCAUUGUGAGCCCUGGAUGGAACCUGGCAGCGGAAAAACUGCUCAGCCUCUGACUUAGGGAAAAGAUGGGAUAUAUACACAGAAUCAUGCUUCUAUCUUUUAAAAGCACUCCAUAAACUUUUGCCAGUGAAAGUCAACUUGUGUUUAGGAACUACUCUGCAAAGUCCCACUUCUAAGCCAGCCAGAUGAAUGAAGAGGAGGGCUGCAGCUGACUACCACGUUUGGGCUACACAAAGGAAGGAAGGGAACACAGAAACGAGCAACAGCAAGAGCACAAUACCAGCAGAGAAGCUGACAGCACUUCUCUAACUCCAUCAUCCCUUCAGGUUUUUCUCAAGACCAGCAGCAAAGCCAGAGAAGCUGCACUGGCCUGAAUGUCACCACUUCCUGAAAGUGAUGCAGGGAAGUCAUUUCGCUCAUCUAAAUUUCAUGAAAGAACUGACAACUCUGAAAACUAUUGUAUGUUCAGAAGGUAGUUUCCACACUACAUAAAAGCGCCAUAAAAGGUUUGCUUUGAAAAACAAGCUGGUUGCAUAGCCACAGGAGCCAGCACCGUUUCAGUUUAACAACAGACUCUUCUGGAGGGGAUAAAAGUUCCUGAAGGACAGAAACAGAAAGCAACCGAUCGAUGCUCCUUCAUUUAUAGUGUCUAUUAUAACAGUAUUUCAGCCUUUUCCUUCUGGAGAACAGCACUUUGGGAUAAUCGUGCGUUUGGAAAUUGCCAGUAGGAGCCCAGGUCUGAGCAGCAGUAGGUGCUUGCAUUUCCUGCUGAAUUGAUUCUUACUGAGAUUACAAUCAGUGUGCUCAAUGUCCUGGCAUGUUGCCCUCCCGUAAGAAAGAAACCAACCAUCUAAAUUUGCAGACUUUGUUCAGCAAAGACUUAUCACUGAAAACAGCCCUACUUUGGGAGCAAAGAGGAAAAUCUGCCCUUUAGAGGCAAUCAAUUACUGCAUAUUCCUAGAACACCUUAUUGUUCUUGAAAUCUGCUUCAAGGGCUAAUUGGCUAUUUCAUCUGUUAGGUGUAUCUAACCCUAGAUAGGAGACUCUCUCGAACAAGCUCUAAUCUCAGAAACACUGGUGUAAAUCUGAGAUUUUUCAAUGCAGGUAGUAUGGUUUUAACAGAAGAGAACUGAAAACAGCACAGCAAGAAAUGAAACUAAAAGCAUUUGUUAGUAGAAAUUCAGCUCUGUCCUAGAAACCCCACCCUGUUAAGUAACCUCCUGUGCCCAACUCCCACCGCCACGUUCCCACUGCCACAUCCAUCUUCCAAAAACAGCCCAACACCAAAACAAUGGUCUUGAGUUGCUGCCACAGAACUCAAAGCACUGAAAGCCAAGUUGCAAGCCAGACAACCCACGAAACAAGCAACAUUUCUUAGUGUACAACACCAUGUCCCAUCACCCUG